rnacentral:lncRNA from 1 species
UAAACAAGAAUGUGUCCCCAGUACACGGAUGCCCCAUCCGCACUAUCAUUUUCUAUGUUCAGUGGACCGUGAAAAUGGGGUUAAAUCUCUAAUUUGGAAUUAAAAUUAGAAAGAUCAUAUCAUACAGAACAUAUGUACUAAGUUUCAAAUUGAUUAGACUUCAACUUCAUCAAAAACUACCUCGACCAAAAACUUUAACCUGAAGUGGGACAGACGGACGAACGAACGAACGGACGGACGAACGAACGAACGAACGGACGAACAGACGCACAGACCAGAAAACAUAAUGCCCAUAAAUGGG